rnacentral:rRNA from 14 species
CUUAGAUGUUCUGGGCCGCACGCGCGCUACACUGACUGAGCCAGCGAGUUUAUAACCUUGGCCGAAAGGUCUGGGUAAUCUUGUGAAACUCAGUCGUGCUGGGGAUAGAGCAUUGCAAUUAUUGCUCUUCAACGAGGAAUGCCUAGUAAGCGCAAGUCAUCAGCUUGCGUUGAUUACGUCCCUGCCCUUUGUACACACCGCCCGUCGCUACUACCGAUUGAAUGGCUCAGUGAGGCCUUCGGACUGGCCC